CCGUUCUCCAGCGAGGUCGUUUGUUUCAGAGCUAGUGGCUUGCGGGAGCCACUGGGGAGCAAGAUCAUUUAACAGCAAAAAUAUUCUUUCUCAGCAAAUUGCUUGGAGCCAGGGGGAUGAAGCUUCCAGGACAACUCAAAUCCUGCAUUCACCCACAGAAUAAACCUAAUUCUUGGAUUCCAUUUGGAUCCCCCAGCGCAUGCAAUCAAGGUUCAGCUGACUGCCAGACACUGGAAGCUUGGCAAAUCUUUGUGGUUUGACUUACAGGUUUUGGAAAAAACAAAAGAGAUUGUCUCAAUAUUUGCUCCUCCUCUCCCACCGCUUCCAGAUUCAAUCCUUCCUCCCUAUUCCAGCCACAUGUUUACUUGUGUGGAUUUAUGUGGACCCACUGCGUGACCCUGGAAAUGGUAGUAUCAGACCCACUGUUGGAGGGUUUGGUUAAUCACCUGAUAUUUCUCCAAAGGCACUUGGCAUAAAACAAAGCACAUCAAAUGCACAAAUCUCAUCAUAUAUAA